rnacentral:rRNA from 1 species
AACCAGCUCUUCAAGUGGUCGGGAUGAUUAUUGGGCUUAAAGUGUCCGUAGCCGGUUUGGUAAGUUCCUGGUAAAAUCAGGUAGCUUAACUAUCUGUAUGCUAGGAAUACUACUAUACUAGAGGGCGGGAGAGGUCUGAGGUACUAUAGGGGUAGGGGUGAAAUCUUAUAAUCCUUGUAGGACCACCAGUGGCGAAGGCGUCAGACUGGAACGUGCCUGACGGUGAGGGACGAAAGCCAGGGGAGCGAACCGGAUUAGAUACCCGGGUAGUCCUGGCCGUAAACGAUGCAUACUAGGUGAUGGCCCGGCCAUGAGCCGUGUCAGUGCCGUAGGGAAACCGUUAAGUGUGCCGCCUGGGAAGUACGGUCGCAAGGCUAAAACUUAAAGGAAUUGGCGGGGGAGCACCACAAGGGGUGAAGCCUGCGGUUC